rnacentral:rRNA from 1 species
AUUGAACGCUGGCGGCAGGCCUAACACAUGCAAGUCGAACGGUAACAGGAAGCAGCUUGCUGCUUCGCUGACGAGUGGCGGACGGGUGAGUAAUGUCUGGGAAACUUCCUGAUGGAGGGGGAUAACUACUGGAAACGGUAGCUAAUACCGCAUAACGUCGCAAGACCAAAGAGGGGGACCUUAGGGCCUCUUGCCAUCGGAUGUGCCCAGAUGGGAUUAGCUAGUAGGUGGGGUAACGGCUCACCUAGGCGACGAUCCCUAGCUGGUCUGAGAGGAUGACCAGCCACACUGGAACUGAGACACGGUCCAGACUCCUACGGGAGGCAGCAGUGGGGAAUAUUGCACAAUGGGCGCAAGCCUGAUGCAGCCAUGCCGCGUGUAUGAAGAAGGCCUUCGGGUUGUAAAGUACUUUCAGCGGGGAGGAAGGGAGUAAAGUUAAUACCUUUGCUCAUUGACGUUACCCGCAGAAGAAGCACCGGCUAACUCCGUG